ensembl:lncRNA
UAUGCUUAUUUUUUUAUUCUUACUUUUAUGAAUUUUUUUUUCGCUGUUAUAUAACAAAAAUUCAAAAUCUCAUCGAAAAUAUUUUAUGAACUCUUUUGCGAGUUAUGGAAUCAUAGAAUAUAACUAUAACGAAUUACAACAAAAGGAAGAAUCAAUUAGACAAAUUGGAAAAAUGAAUAAUAAUAAUAAUAAAAAUGUAAUUUCACAAAUGGAUCAAACGGAGGUAUCAUUUGGUAAAUAUGAUAUACAUGACAAUUGUUUAUCAUGGAAAAUGCAAAAGAAAAAAAGCACACAUUUUAGUGAUAAAAAAAAACACACAAUGGCUAAUAAUAAUGCUACUGUGUAUGGGACAGAGCAUGGUACAGACAUAAAUAGCAAAUACUCAAAGUGGUAUAAGAAUGAUUUGAAUAUAUAUUUAAGAAAUAUAAUAUGUAAUAGAAUAAUAAAAGGGAAUACAUCUAUUGAUGUUAUAUAUAUUAAAAAUCCACUGAAACAUGUUAGAAAGUAUAAUUUAUAUACUUCCUUUUUUACAGUAUUAUAUAGUGGAUUAAUAUUUAUGUUAAAUGAUGAAAGUGAAUUAAUAAGAUAUAGAAUUAUUGUUAUAUUAUUAAAUUUUAUGAAAAACAAAUCAUUAAAUAUAAGUAAAAAUAUAAAAAGUGUGAUAUGUACCGAAUAUUUUAUUUAUUAUAUAUCUAAUUUUUUUAAUAAUAUAACCUUAAAUAUUUUAACUUUUUGUAUUUAUCAAACGAAAAGUUAUAUUAAAAAUUAUAGUUUAUAUUACAAUCCUAUAAAAUUGUUUGAUCAAGAAAAAUAUAACUUAUAUAUAAACAAUGUAUUAUUAAAUCAUAUGUUUUUGUUUUAUUAUAUGUAUAACAUUAUUCAAAUGAAUAAGAAAAAAUGCUUUUUAUGUUUAAAAUACACGGACGUUGACAGCAAUAUGAAUAAUAUAUGUAAAAAAUGUAGUGUCUAUGAUGAAGGACAGUUGUCUGGUAGCAAUUAUACACUUUGGGAGAACAUAUCUAGGAUAGAUAGUAAGUUGGUUAUUCACAGUAACGGUAGAAGGAUCAAAACUAAUAAUAUAAAUAAAGUAACAAAUGUUGAAAAAUAUGAUAAUUUUGACUAUUACGACUACCAUAGUAAACAAAAAAAACUCGACUUUUACAUUUUUCUCGAUUCCAUGAGUAACCAAAAAAAGGAAAUAUUAGUAUCUAAAGAUAUAACAGUUUCAAAUAUAUAUAUGUUAAAAAAUUGCAAAUACGAUUUAUCUAUAUUAAGAUAUUGGAGGACAUGGAAGAACAUUAUAAAUAAGUUAAAAAUAAAAAGAGAUAGUUGUAAGCAUAAGCAUGGUAAGUUUGUAAAUAAUAUAGAACAGUCAUUUAUUAUAACAUUUUUAUCAUCUAUGAAAAUGAGAUACGUUGAAAAAAAUUAAAAAAAGUUUAAAUAUAUAUUUACAACUAUUAUGUUAUAAUACAAAUAUAGAUUUCUUUGAUUGUAAUUUUAUUAUAUGUUUAAAUAAUUUAUUCAAUAAAAUAGUACUACUUUUAAUUAACCUAUAUAUA